AUCAAUGUUGCGUCUGUGUGGAUGAGAGCGUCUGUUUGCGGCUUUCUAUUUCAUUUUAGUGAUACAAAGUUAGGAGUUUUGUUCUUAAAUUUAAUCUGUAUUUAUCUGUCGCUAUUAAUCUGUCGACAUAGGCUUUUAGGAGCGUGAGAGAAAAUGAAGGUCUAUUGAGGUUUACUUAAAUGUAACUUACUGUAUAUAAUACUAAAAAUAUUGCAUAACGUCCAAUGUUUUCGUAGAAUAUUUGUUUAUUGCUGAUGAUUCUUUUGCAUGGUAGGGUCUAAUUAGGUUGUGCAGUUACAAUUUAAAGAUAAUACUAAUAUCAUAUGUGUGAUAUAUUCAGACGUCAAGAAAGUCUCACUCCAACCAGGUAAUCAAGGUACACAGCACUGGUGGCGGUUGGAGUAACCAUAGCAACCUGGGGACAUAACGGCGCCUGAAGAAGACAUAGGCCUACCUCCGGCUCUCCAGUACCUUCCUGAGAUGAUGGAAUAUCUUCUGCCUAAAGUUGAGUUCAAUGUGAUUUUGGUGAUACACUAUCUGAUGUUCUCACUACUCUUGUGAAAAAGUUGUGAGCUUGCAGGAAAUCUGCAUAUAAAAUGCUCCUUUGCUCCACUGCUCCAGUUCCUCCACCACACCAUCAGAUCACCUGCAAGAGACAAUCUUCAAUUACCCACAGCUAAGAAACUUGCAUACCUUUACUUCCUCUAAAUACUCACCUUCAGACUGUUGCUUCUCAUCCUGCUGCCCGUUUGUCAAUAAACCUGUUGUUGUGAGAACU
ensembl:lncRNA